GGAGUUUUUUAUCAUGGGAUAAAAAUAGGAGAAAGAAAAUAGAGAAUGUUUUGUUGAAGAGGAAGAGCAAGAGCCUUCUGCCACCAAAGUCUUCGCAUACAGAAAAUGAAGAAAUUCAUGAAGAUCAACCCGAGUUCGAGCUACUGACCUUCGCAUCUGCAUUAAAACCAUGCACGAACUUCAACUGAGCAUAUCCUUGCAAACCCACUAAAGGAAGCAAAGCUAGAAUUAUAAGCGCCAAUCGCCAGUUAGCUACCAUGGCAAUUACCAGCCCUGCUGUGAUGGUUGAUAUGUUCUGUACUACUAGCACUAAGACAUCCCCUACAAGGCUUCGCACAGCUGAAGCAUCGACCAACAAUCUUGCACCAAUUGCCCCACUAAAAUAGAACAAGAAUUUCACACAGUUAGAAAAGCUAAGAGAUAAAACAAGUGGAUUGUAGUGUGCGAACCCACCUCGAAUUCAUAGGUUCGUCGAACCAGCUGAUUUCUUGGUGGACUACCCUCUCGAAUGAUAAGGAUCGGAUGCGCCGGAUGAGCUUACCACCUGCAACUCCAAACAGAUAUUCCCGCAGCGGUAAGGCGACCAUGGAAACAAUACCCAGGGCUGCGAACAUGAGGGCCCAAAACACGGAAUCCUUCUGAAGUUCGUGGGGGGGCAGGUAGAAGAUUUUGAUGGCAACGGAAAGCAAAGUUCCAAAUACAGGGAAGACUACUCCAUAUGUAACUGCAGCAAUGGAUCCUAACAGCAGUACUGGCAGCUCAGGCUUAUUCAAGUAGGCAAGACGUUUGAUUGAUGCUUUAUGAUUGGUCUCAUCAUGUUGUUCUCCUCCUCCUUGGAUGUCCUCCGAGAAGCUUACUAUAUCAGGCAAACCAAAGGAAAUUGGGGAGGGCGUUCUGCUUCCACGUGAAGAACCUUUGCUCAUCGAUAUCUUUAAAGGGGACUUUUGCUUUAAAGGGGACUUCUGGCUUCUAGAUUGACCAACUAUUUCACCAUUAUCAAAGCUUGAUUCAAUCUCAUCUGGGUCGAUGGCCGGUAUUUGUUCAGCUCGAUUAUUAUCCUCUUGUAGGCGUAUGAGCUGAGAGUAAGCCCCAUCAGAAUCCUUGAUCAAUUCUGAAUGAGAACCUGAUUGAAAGAAAUGAAUAUCUAGAUUUUAACAUGGAAUUUGAAAUGGUUUUUGUUACCUCAACUCAAAGAUAUCAGGUACUUCUCAAGAAGAAGAAGAUCAAAGGAAAUGGAGCUUCAUGAAAUGUUAGAAUAUUUACCUUGCUCCACAAUCUUUCCUUGACGCAUCACUGCUAUUGUAUCUACAUUCCUCACUGUGCUCAAACGGUGGGCAACAAUCACAGUCGUCCGGUUUACCAUAAUCCUCACUAAUGCUUCUUGAACUAUUCGCUCAGACGCGGUAUCUAAUGCACUCGUCGCCUCAUCAAGAAGCAGUAUCUUGGGUUCCUUUAAAAUCGCCCUCGCAAUCGCAAUCCUCUGUUUCUGUCCACCAGACAGUUGGGUUCCAUGCUCACCAACCAUCGUGUCCAGCCCCUAUAGAUCACAACAAUAUAAUCGAAUCAGCUGAUGCCACCCACAAAAUCUUUGUGAGAGUAGUAUGAAUUUACCCAAAAAAAAAAAGAAGGAAAAAAAAAAGAGUACAAGCAAGUGACCUGUGGCAUCUUGUCUAUGAACCUUGCUGCAUUAGCAAUCUCAGUUACUGUUCUGAUUUCCUCCAAUGUAGCACCCGCCUUACCAUAUGCGAUAUUCUCCUUUAUAGUAGUUGUGAAUAAGAUGGGCUCUUGGCUAACAAGACUGAUCUUCUCUCUUAUCCAUCCAAGCUGCAGCUUCUUCAAGUUGAUGCCAUCUAUGAGCACUUCACCAGCUUGGGGGUCAUAGAACCUCUCCAACAGGCUGAUCACCGUCGACUUCCCACUGCCGCUCUCUCCAACUAGAGCCACAGUCAUGCCGCUUGGAACAUGCAACGAGAACC